rnacentral:rRNA from 1 species
UCCAGACUCCUACGGGAGGCAGCAGUGGGGGAUAUUGCACAAUGGGGGGAACCCUGAUGCAGCGACGCCGCGUGGGUGAAGGAGCGUUUCGGCGCGUAAAGCCCUAUCGGCAGGGAAGAAGGAGGACGGUACCUGACUAAGAAGCCCCGGAUAACUACGUGCCAGCAGCCGCGGUAAUACGGAGGGGGCAAGCGUUAUCCGGAUUUACUGGGUGUAAAGGGGGCGCAGACGGCAGCGCAAGCCAGGAGUGAAAGCCCGGGGCCCAACCCCGGGACUGCUCUUGGAACUGCGCGGCUGGAGUGCAGGAGGGGCAGGCGGAAUUCCUGGUGUAGCGGUGAAAUGCGUAGAUAUCAGGAGGAACACCGGUGGCGAAGGCGGCCUGCUGGACUGCGACUGACAUUGAGGCCUGAAAGCGUGGGGAGCAAACAGGAUUAGAUACCCCCGUAAAC